rnacentral:rRNA from 1 species
UGGGGAAUUUUGGACAAUGGGCGAAAGCCUGAUCCAGCAAUGCCGCGUGUGUGAAGAAGGCCUUCGGGUUGUAAAGCACUUUUGUCCGGAAAGAAAACGUUCCCACUAAUACUGGGGGCGGAUGACGGUACCGGAAGAAUAAGCACCGGCUAACUACGUGCCAGCAGCCGCGGUAAUACGUAGGGUGCAAGCGUUAAUCGGAAUUACUGGGCGUAAAGCGUGCGCAGGCGGUUUGUUAAGACGGAUGUGAAAUCCCCGGGCUCAACCUGGGAACUGCAUUCGUGACUGGCAGGCUAGAGUAUGGCAGAGGGGGGUGGAAUUCCACGUGUAGCAGUGAAAUGCGUAGAGAUGUGGAGGAACACCGAUGGCGAAGGCAGCCCCCUGGGCCAAUACUGACGCUCAUGCACGAAAGCGUGGGGAGCAAACAGGAUUAGAUACCCCCGUAGUCC